AGAGAGAAGCUUGCUUCUCUAGAAAAAAAAGGACGGGUGAGUAAUGCCUAGGAAUCUGCCUGGUAGUGGGGGAUAACGUUCGGAAACGGACGCUAAUACCGCAUACGUCCUACGGGAGAAAGCAGGGGACCUUCGGGCCUUGCGCUAUCAGAUGAGCCUAGGUCGGAUUAGCUAGUUGGUGAGGUAAUGGCUCACCAAGGCUACGAUCCGUAACUGGUCUGAGAGGAUGAUCAGUCACACUGGAACUGAGACACGGUCCAGACUCCUACGGGAGGCAGCAGUGGGGAAUAUUGGACAAUGGGCGAAAGCCU
rnacentral:rRNA from 1 species